GUGAAGAUCUGCUUCUACUAUUUCUAAUAUACUUCUCUAAAGUCUCAUUCCAUAAUUUAAGAGCACUGGAGACAGAAUUUAAUUUACCAGGAAAGUCACACUCUUCUGACUUUCUCUAUUCUGAGAUUUAAAAAGUAGAGAAUUGAAGGUUCAUUCUUUGCAGAUUCUUUCAGGCCCCAAGAAAUUAAAGGAUUUACACAAACAGGGUCC